CCUUUGCUCCCUGGAGCCCCCCAACCCUGGCUCCCCUCUCUCUCUCCAUCCCCAGCUCCCCCCUCCGCUGCAGUGCAGCUCCAGGCUCCAUCUGCACCCCUUCUGCAGCCAUUCCCUGCAACUCUUUGGGCUGCAGUUUUAAAGGAUUCUUCCUUUAAUCCAUGAGAAGCAAACAAUGGCUGUCUAAGUGGGUCACUACCUGCAGGCCUGUGGCAACCUAUUAUCGGGAAAAAAUUGGGUCUCUGCAAAGAGCAAGCGUCUAACCAGCGAUGGGCGUAAGAGGAGGGGGACUUGCGGCCCCUCUGCUCCUCUUCCCGUUUUUGGUGAAAAGGGACGCAGAGCACCACGGUCCCUUGGCCAAGUCCACGGAACUAGUGAGUGGAAAGCCAGAAGCUGCACACCAGUGCGACUGCUUCCAAAUCCAGGCUCCUCCGUGCUCCCGGGGAAUGUGGUGACGCUGCAGGCUCUGUUCGUCAGUUGAUAGGACCCCAGAAGCCGGCAAGUCCAUCACCGUACACUGAUGGAAUCCCUGCAGGCUGCUGGGAGCUUGGAGCUGAAGAGGGAGCAGCCCCGGCGGACACAGGAUCUAGAUCGGCCCCCUAUGUGCCAUGUGGACCCCAAGCUUUGGGGAGCAAGAGGCCCAUCCUGUCACAUACACAGAGCCUGGGAGUGGAUGACGAGAGUGGAUACCCCAUCACAUAACAGACAGCCUUCGAGUUCCGCUGCCGUCACCACUGAGACUUUUGCAGCAGAAUCUGGGAGACCGUCUCAGCUCCGAAGCUGCUCCUUUCCCCAGCCCCAAUCCAGGGGCACCUCUGGCCUGGACUUGCAUUGGGGCUGCUCAGAUCAGCUCAGCUGGGCUGUCUGCUUUGCUGCGUAGUUCUGCGUCAGCCUGGCCCCCGGGGCUCGUGGUGAGAGGAGCCCGGAGCAGCCUGUCCUGGCGCCUGCGUCAUCAUCAGUCCUCAUGCUCCCUGGUGGCUUCCGUGCCAGCCCUCAGCCAUGGCUACUGUCCAGCUGCCUUUUAGACUUAAAACCUGGGGCCCCACGAGCCCAGGAAGGCAGCUCUAGAGCUAGGAGAGGUGAAGAAAUAUUUUCUCUCCAAGAGCCACCCAGAGACACAGCACCCGCCUUGGUUCGGUCCGUGCACACCCAUUUCGGCUCCUGGCUUCCGAGCUGUGUGGUCUGAGCACCUGGGGCCAGGGCGCCGCAGCUCAUCCAUUCAGGCUCUUCCCAGGCCUGCAGCGGAGCACCCGCCCCACCACCGAGCUGCUUCAUCUGGUACAUCUGCUUUCAGAAAAUUCAAGAAAGAGUGGCCAAAGGGGAGCCUUUAGAUGUGGAACAGUGAGGGUCUUGUGUCAGGGGUCCCCAGCAGAGGAUUUUGUGUGUAGGUUGUGCCCAAAACAGCCUCGGGAGCAUGGGCAUGGUGCAGGGAACAGGUGGGGGAAAUAAAACAAGGGCUGUUUAAGAGGUCUUGUAGGCAGAGCGCACAGAGUAACGGUUCAGCAGGGGAGGGGCGGGCGCGGCAGCAAAGGGAAAUGUUGCAGAUCUGAAAUGGUGUCUGGCCUGCGAGGGGCCUCCCUGGAUGUUUUCUUUGCACUUCUCUGGGGCUCUGCUCACUCAGGCCGGCAAACCUGGACAACCACAAGCUACACUGAAGAUUUUGACAUGUCAACAGCAUUUCAAAGCCUCGAAGAGGAGGAGCACCUCCAGCUGCCCAGGAGCAGUGCAGGGGAGGGAGGCAGGACGCU